rnacentral:rRNA from 1 species
GAGUUUGAUCCUGGCUCAGGAUGAACGCUGGCGGCGUGCCUAAUACAUGCAAGUCGAACGCACUGAUUUUAUCAGUGAGUGGCGAACGGGUGAGUAAUACAUAAGUAACCUGCCCUCAUGAGGGGGAUAACUAUUAGAAAUGAUAGCUAAGACCGCAUAGGUGAAGGGGUCGCAUGACCGCUUCAUUAAAUAUCCGUAAGAAUAGCAGGAGGAUGGACUUAUGGCGCAUUAGCUGGUUGGUGAGGUAACGGCUCACCAAGGCGACGAUGCGUAGCCGACCUGAGAGGGUGGACGGCCACACUGGGACUGAGACACGGCCCAGACUCCUACGGGAGGCAGCAGUAGGGAAUUUUCGGCAAUGGGGGAAACCCUGACCGAGCAACGCCGCGUGAGGGAAGAAGUAUUUCGGUAUGUAAACCUCUGUUAUAAAGGAAGAACGGUAUGAAUAGGAAAUGAUUCAUAAGUGACGGUACUUUAUGAGAAAGCCACGGCUAACUAC